rnacentral:hammerhead_ribozyme from 1 species
CUCUAGCUGAAGAGUCCUAAAUAGGACGAAAUCCGCAUCCUGGAC